UACAGAGGUGGCAAGCGUUGUUCGGAAUUACUGGGCGUAAAGGGCGCGUAGGCGGCCUACUAAGUCAGACGUGAAAUCCCCCGGCUUAACCUGGGAACUGCGUCUGAUACUGGAAGGCUUGAGGAUGGGAGAGGGAUGUAGAAUUCCAGGUGUAGCGGUGAAAUGCGUAGAUAUCUGGAGGAAUACCGAUGGCGAAGGCAGCCCCCUGGGCCAAUACUGACGCUCAUGCACGAAAGCGUGGGGAGCAAACAGG
rnacentral:rRNA from 1 species